rnacentral:ncRNA from 1 species
GGGGACCUUCGGGGCCCUGUAACCUGGGUCGCUUGCGACCCACCUAGCUGACGGAAGACAGAGA